rnacentral:lncRNA from 1 species
CGCACGCCACUUCCCUCAGCCUGUAGAACUUCCGGCAGCAACUGCAAUUAGGGGUAGUCCAGUGCUAAAUUGUCGCAGCCUUGAAAAUAUUCUGCUUCGUUAUUUCGGGCACUCCACAGAUUCUGUUGCGAAGGCAGCCAUCUUUAGUUCGUCUUUCCUAGAGAGCGUUGAGAAGAUUCUGCUCCAUUUUUUCUGAUUAUGGAUUCUGUUCAGAAGGAAGCCGAAUUUUAAGUCAUCGUUCUAGGAUAGAUUCAGCUCCAUUUUCUCUGGUGGUAGAUCUCCAUGGAUGCUAUUGAGAAGGUACUUCUCAAAGUCCACGAGGACAAGGACAUCUUUCCACCGAAUGCCACCUGGUUUAUAACAAAAGCAUGAAAAACAAACAGGAAUUUCUCAAUGCAGAAAGGACUGAAGCUGUCAAAGGUGUGCUUUUUUUCUGCACAAACAAGUUUCCAUUGAAUGAUAGAAUAAAGAGAUACUGACUUCCCCGGAGCCUCCAAACUUGAGUAGUCAGGCAUUGGGAUCCGUGGAAGGCUUGUUAAAUCCAAAUAGAUUGGUCCUACUCCAUCCGCAGAGUUGCUGACGAGGUGCGUCCAGGAAUCUCUUGCCCCAAGUUUCAUUCCAAGUAUUUAAAUUGGAAUUGAGCAUCCUGUCAUGCCAGGGAUGAGAAUGCCUGGGUUACAUCAGUUAGCCCUCUCCUCUUGAGGAAUGGCAUAUUACCCAUUUUAGUUUAAGAACACAGAUGAAAAAUCACCAAGUAAAAAAGGAGCAUAGGGAGGAAUCCAGGAGAAACCAGGCUCAAGCUUCCAGCCACCCUCUUCCAGUGGAGUCAAGUGCACUGCACUUAAUUCUCCCAGCCAGGUGUGCGGCCACCUGUGCCAAGUGUUCCCAACCAGCUGCACUUCAAGGGAAGUUAUUGAAUAUGUCCUAUCCAACUAAAACAAGGAAAUGAUGAAAAAAAUAAAAUCACUUUCCAGAGGCCUCAGGGCUAACUGGAGACAGAGCUCAGACUGCAACUGAGAAAAGUUGGACUCCAAAACCUGUACUCUGAGCUUUACUGCAUGAGAAAGUUAUUGAAAUGUGCCUUGUGACAUUCAGAAUAAGUGACUUUUCAGAGGUCUCAGAGUCAGUAAGAGACAGAACUCAGAUUGUAACCAAGAAGAGCUGAACUCCAAACUUCUGUGUCCGGAAUUGGUGGGUUCUUGGUCUCACUGACUUCAAGAAUGAAGCGGCAGACCCUCGCGG